rnacentral:rRNA from 1 species
CAACAGGGAUUGCCUCAGUAACGGCGAGUGAAGCGGCAACAGCUCAAAUUUUAAAGCUGGCGUCCUCGACGCCCGCGUUGUAAUUUGGAGAGGCAUCUUCGGUUUGGGCGCCAGCCUAUGUUCCUUGGAACAGGACGUCACAGAGGGUGAGAAUCCCGUGCUUGGCUGGCUGUCCCUCUCCAUGUGAAGUGUCUUCGACGAGUCGAGUUGUUUGGGAAUGCAGCUCAAAAUGGGUGGUAAAUUUCAUCUAAAGCUAAAUAUUGGCGGGAGACCGAUAGCGCACAAGUAGAGUGAUCGAAAGAUGAAAAGCACUUUGAAAAUAGAGUUAAAAAGUACGUGAAAUUGUUGAAAGGGAAGCGCUUGAGACCAGACUCGGCCGGAGACGAUCAGCGGUCCUUCUGGGCCGUGCACUCGUCCUCGGUUGGGCCAACAUCGGUUGAAACGGUGGGAUAAAGGUCCGGGGAAUGUGGCUCCUUUCGGGGAGUGUUAUAACCCCGGGCGCAAUUCCACCAGUCUCGACCGAGGACCGCGCUCUUUUUCUAGGAUGCUGGCGUAAU